rnacentral:rRNA from 1 species
GACGUAGGGGGCCAGCGUUGCUCGGAAUUACUGGGUGUAAAGGGUUCGUAGGCGGUGUGGCAAGUCGGGAGUGAAAUCUCUGGGCUCAACCCAGAGUCUGCUUCCGAAACUGCUGUGCUUGAGUGACCUAGAGGUGAGCAGAACAGAUGGUGGAGCGGUGAAAUGCGUUGAUAUCAUCUGGAAUACCGGAGGCGAAGGCGGCUCACUGGGGGUCUUCUGACGCUGAGGAACGAAAGCCAGGGGAGCGAACGGG